GAUGAACGCUAGCGGCAGGCCUAACACAUGCAAGUCGAGGGGUAACAUAGAAAAGCUUGCUUUUCUGAUGACGACCGGCGCACGGGUGCGUAACGCGUAUACAACCUACCUUUUAGCGGGGAAUAGCCCAGGGAAACUUGGAUUAAUGCCCCAUAGUAUAUAGACUUCUCCUGAAGUUUAUAUUAAACAUUUAUGGCUAUUAGAUGGGUAUGCGUCCUAUUAGUUAGUUGGUAAGGUAACGGCUUACCAAGGCAGCGAUAGGUAGGGGUCCUGAGAGGGAGAUCCCCACACUGGUACUGAGACACGGACCAGACUCCUACGGGAGGCAGCAGUGAGGAAUAUUGGACAAUGGGCGAGAGCCUGAUCCAGCCAUGCCGCGCGCAGGAAGACUGCCCUAUGGGUUGUAAACUGCUUUUACAGAGGAAGAACCACCCCCACGUGUGGGGGUUUGACGGUACUCUGCGAAUAAGGAUCGGCUAACUCCGUG
rnacentral:rRNA from 1 species